UACGUAGGGUGCAAGCGUUGUUCGGAAUUACUGGGCGUAAAGCGCGGGCAGGUGGUCCGUUAAGUCGUUUGUGAAAAUCCGGGGCUCAACCCCGCGAAAUGCAGACGAUACUGGCGGACUAGAGAUCGGUAGAGGCUAGCGGAAUUCCUGGUGUAGCGGUGGAAUGCGUAGAUAUCAGGAAGAACACCUGUGGCGAAGGCGGCUAGCUGGGCCGAGUCUGACACUCAUCCGCGAAAGCGUGGGGAGCAAACAGG
rnacentral:rRNA from 1 species